GGGGCAUUCGUCUAAUGGCAAGACAGCGGCUUCCAAACCCGCCAAUUGGGGUUCGAUCCCUCAAUGCCCUG
rnacentral:tRNA from 6 species